rnacentral:rRNA from 1 species
GACGAACGCUGGCGGCGUGCUUAACACAUGCAAGUCGAGCGGUAAGGCCCUUUCGGGGGUACGACGAGCGGCGAACGGGUGAGUAACACGUGGGUGACCUGCCUUUAGUCUCUGGGAGUAAGCCUGGGAAACCGGGUCUAAUACCGGAUAUGACUCCGCGGCGCAUGUUGUGGGGUGGAAAGCCUUGUGCGGCUGGAGAUGGGCCCGCGGCCUAUCAGCUUGUUGGUGGGGUGAUGGCCUACCAAGGCGACGAC